GUGGGAACCUGCCUUUAGGUUCGGGAUAACUCCUCGAAAGGGGUGCUAAUACCGGAUGAUGUCUUCGGACCAAAGAUUUAUCGCCUUUAGAUGGGCCCGCGUUGGAUUAGCUUGUUGGUGAGGUAAAGGCUCACCAAGGCGACGAUCCAUAGCUGGUCUUAGAGGAUGAUCAGCCACACUGGGACUGAGACACGGCCCAGACUCCUACGGGAGGCAGCAGUGGGGAAUAUUGGACAAUGGGCGAAAGCCUGAUCCAGCAAUGCCGCGUGAGUGAUGAAGGCCUUAGGGUUGUAAAGCUCUUUUACCCGGGAUGAUAAUGACAGUACCGGGAGAAUAAGCCCCGGCUAACUCCGUGCCAGCAGCCGCGGUAAUACGGAGGGGGCUAGCGUUGUUC
rnacentral:rRNA from 1 species